rnacentral:rRNA from 1 species
GGAAUUUUGGACAAUGGGGGCAACCCUGAUCCAGCCAUGCCGCGUGCGGGAAGAAGGCCUUCGGGUUGUAAACCGCUUUUGUCAGGGAAGAAAUGUCCUGGGUUAAUACCCUGGGGGGAUGACGAUACCUGAAGAAUAAGCACCGGCUAACUACGUGCCAGCAGCCGCGGUAAUACGUAGGGUGCGAGCGUUAAUCGGAAUUACUGGGCGUAAAGCGUGCGCAGGCGGUUAUACAAGACAGAUGUGAAAUCCCCGGGCUCAACCUGGGAACUGCAUUUGUGACUGUAUAGCUGGAGUACGGUAGAGGGGAGUGGAAUUCCGCGUGUAGCAGUGAAAUGCGUAGAUAUGCGGAGGAACACCGAUGGCGAAGGCAGCUCCCUGGACCUGUACUGACGCUCAUGCACGAAAGCGUGGGGAGCAAACAGGAUUAGAUACCCUGGUAGUCCACGCCCUAAACGAUGUCAACUGGUUGUUGGGAGGGUUUCUUCUCAGUAACGAAGCUAACGCGUGAAGUUGACCGCCUGGGGAGUACGGCCGCAAGGUUGAAACUCAAAUGAAUUGACGGA